AAAGCCUAUUAUUACCUCAAUUUUACCAGUGAGGACCUGAGCUCUGUGGCUGUGAAGAAUAUAGCUCGUGCACAGGAAAUAUUUGGCUAAGACACGGCUACUUAUGAUGUCUACAUAAAUAACAGGAUCAGGAGCUGGGCCAACUAUGGGAAUGAAGAGGAAACUGGAAAAAGAACCUGUAACGCCUGAGAUCGCCUGACCACCAACCCAGCAGGAUGGCUGCUGGGGUCUUAUUAAAUUAGCAAAAAAGAAACUAAAAGUGAUUUGUCAACAUGUGUUAUCUAGAGAUGAUUCUAAGCAACUCAGCCUGGCGGUAAUGUAUUCCAUCCAAUUGAGGAGUUUGCAGGAAAAUAAAUCUACAGUGACCCAACAGAGUAGUAAAACACUUGUUUGAAAUUAUUUUUUGUAACUGUGCUCAUU
rnacentral:lncRNA from 1 species